rnacentral:misc_RNA from 1 species
AACGCACCUUGCGCCCGGUGGGCAUGUCUGUGCGAGUGUCCUGUGCUUUUGUGGGGGGUGGUGGAUCGUGAGAUGAUCGCGAGAAAUUGCCUCUUAGGUGUUGGCCUCCUCGGCGAGUGGGCUUGAAUGCAGGUGGGCGUCUGGCCGCGUCUAGAGACUCGUCCCUGGAACGCAGCCACGCUGCCCAAACAAUCUCUUAGGACCUCGCAUCAGGCAAGGCAACCCGCUGAACUUAA